rnacentral:lncRNA from 1 species
UGGGGAGAGUUUGGUAUUCCACCCUCCAUCUCUCCAAUUGGGAGAGGAGGCUGAAGGAGGGGGUGUCAGUUAAAGCUUGAGUUAGAGGUAAUGAGCUUAACCUGGGAGAUACUCCAGAGGCAUUGAAAAUCAGGCAGAGUAGAAGAUGCAGAUGGAAAAAAAUCUCAAAGAAGGUUGUUUAUUAUCCUCUCCUCCACCAUUCUCCAAAUGACAAAAUGAAAUCUUUCCUCCAAAUGUCACCAAGCCCAUCAUUGGUCCUCAAAUAA